AGAGCGAACGCUGGCGGCAGGCCUAACACAUGCAAGUCGAGCGCCCGUAGCAAUACGGGAGCGGCAGACGGGAGAGUAACACGUGGGAACGCGCCCUUCGGUCCGGAAUAACUCAGGGAAACUUGAGCUAAUACCGGAUACGCCCUUACGGGGAAAGAUUUAUUGCCGAAGGAACGGCCCGCGUCCGAUUAGCUAGUUGGUGAGGUAAUGGCUCACCAAGGCGACGAUCGGUAGCUGGUCUGAGAGGAUGACCAGCCUCACUGGGACUGAGACACGGCCCAGACUCCUACGGGAGGCAGCAGUGGGGAAUAUUGGACAAUGGGCGCAAGCCUGAUCCAGCCAUGCCGCGUGAGUGAUGAAGGCCUUAGGGUUGUAAAGCUCUUUUAGCAGGGAAGAUAAUGACGGUACCUGACAGAAAACGCCCGGACUAACUUCGUGCCAGCAGCCGC
rnacentral:rRNA from 1 species